rnacentral:rRNA from 1 species
GACGAACGCUGGCGGCGUGCUUAACACAUGCAAGUCGAACGGAAAGGCCCUGCUUUUGUGGGGUGCUCGAGUGGCGAACGGGUGAGUAACACGUGAGUAACCUGCCCUUGACUUUGGGGUAACUUCAGGAAACUGGGGCUAAUACCGGAUAGGAGCUCCUGCUGCAUGGUGGGGGUUGGAAAGUUUCGGCGGUUGGGGAUGGACUCGCGGCUUAUCAGCUUGUUGGUGGGGUAGUGGCUUACCAAGGCUUUGACGGGUAGCCGGCCUGAGAGGGUGACCGGCCACAUUGGGACUACGAUACGGCCCAGACUCCUACGGGAGGCAGCAGUGGGGAAUAUUGCACAAUGGGCGGAAGCCUGAUGCAGCAACGCCGCGUGCGGGAUGACGGCCUUCGGGUUGUAAACCGCUUUCGCAUGUGACGAAGCGUGAGUGACGGUAAUGGGUAAAGAAGCACCGGCUAACUACGUG